AGGGGGGGGGGAAAUCAAACUACAAUGCACUCUAUUUAUUGAGAAUCCCAAAUAAAUAUCUAUAGCAAAACUUGCUCCCGUGCAGAAGCGUGGUGAAAGGAGAAAGAAUAUUAGGUAAUUGGAAAAGGACCCAGCUAGCUGAUGGACUAAUCUUUUCCUAAAGAGGAAAUUCUUGACAUGAGACUUCUGCCUGGGUCCGUGAAAUAACGUGCGGAUCAAAAUCUGGAAAAAAAAAAUUCAGCAACCAAGACGACCAAAAAGACAGAGAGGACACACUGGGUAGAGAAGUCUGAAUCCCAAACCUCUUCACCUGUUUCCAUGAUUUUCCUGUCUUCUAUUCCAGUCUGACUUUACUUUGGAAACCCUUUGGAGUUUGGCAGGACAAGUAGCCACUGCCUCCCUGUGAGCAACUAACAAGAGCUGCUGUCACAGUCUCUCACCCAAUGUCAACUCAGCACCUUCUGCUGCUCUUAUUGUUGACAUCAGCUCUCUGCAGGUUCUGAGACGGGGUGACACUAGAACAGUGAGUGACAAACGAAGUACCAUGGGACAAGAAGAAAGGGCACAUUACCCAGGCAAGUUGGAGAGUUUUUCCAAAUGGGAUUUCACUGGUCUAUAAUAAAUGUUCCAGUCGUAAAAGUGGAGAGUCUCAGUGCUUAAAGAAACACAGGAAUAAAUAGUUACCAAAGCAAAAAGAGAAAGAAAAA
rnacentral:lncRNA from 1 species